rfam:Cavia porcellus supercont2_191 genomic scaffold, whole genome shotgun sequence.
CUGUCUCUUGCUUCAACGUUUGGACAAAACAG